CAGGCAGUGCCCCUCUCCUGGCACUGUCAGUAAAGAUGGGGAGGAAAAUCAGAUGACCACGCUGAGGACGGGGAGUAAGCAUCAAUAUCCAUCUGAAGAAGACACCAGCGACUGUCAUCUCUGGUUCCCGGGCCCCAGGAGACACAGAGUCCCACAGCAAAGAUGUCAUCUCCAGGACACUUUCCCCUCAAGGGACAGAGUUUCCAGCUUGAGACAAUGA
rnacentral:lncRNA from 1 species